rnacentral:sRNA from 1 species
CGAGCAGAACUUUGACGUCUGCAGUAAUAAUAAGUAAUCAAAACAAACUAAAUAACAAAGUGGUCUGUUAAAACAGUGUCGAACAGAGGGUAUAAAAAUGAUAGUUUUUUAAUAUAAUUGUAUGCUUAAUGUAUAGUUUAUCACAGUUAAUCGAAUGCUCAAAGAGCUUUUUUUGUAUAGUAAAAUAACUUUAUUACAGAUAAAUCACAUAUAAUAUAACGGAUAAUACUAAUCGAGUGCUCAGUGAGCUUAUAUAUGGAAGCAAUUUAAUGGAACCUUAUAUGCCAGAAGCGAUUUUUUUGUAAAAUUGUGGCAAGUUGUGGUCAAGAAGGCUUUCAAGCGUUUUGUUCAAGAUUCUUACAGAUGAUAAAUAGGAGGAUUGUGACCAGGAAAUUUCUUUUUCAAUUUCAUAAAUUUCAUUCAUCACAUAGUUUUCAUGCGUGGCAAGUUUUUCGAUGAAUGUUAAUUGUUGGCGUUGGGCAUUUUCACAAAGAGGAACAACAUUUGACGCAGUAUAUAUGACUUCCAAUUCUUUGGCCACUGUUGGGGAAAUAGAGAACCAGAUCGGAAAUCCAUAGAGCAAAAUAGGACGGAUUGCUACCUUGUAGAGUUUUGUUUUUUGAGGUAGGUGUUUAUUGUUUAACACAUAUGCAAAUCUUGCUAAACGCCUUUUCCUUUUUGCAUGAUUGAGCGGGCAUGGAAAUUAAAUUUCAUUAAGUUGUUGAAUUGGAUGCCGAGAUAUUUGAAAGAGGUUCUGAAUGGUAUGUUUACGCCAUACAAGGACAGUUGUAGUGAUUUGCUCUCUGGGACAACGUACCAUGGGCAUUUUCCGGAGGCGUUACGUAUGCAGAUUGCAACAAACUUCGCUGCGUUUAUUUGGCUACCCCACUUUUUGUAGUAGCUGUUAAUGUUCUGAAGGUGAUUUUUUGCGUUAUUUAAUGCAAUUGACGGUGAUGUGUGAUGCGCAUAAAUGAGGCAAUCAUAGGCGUAUAAAAUUGCUUUUGAAUUUUGACUGAUGUGAGGGAAGUCGUGAAGGAAUAGAUUGAACAGAAAUGGUGCCAAAAUACUGCUUUGUGGGACUCCGCUAUUUACUUCUCUCGGAGGUGACGAUGCGUCAUUUAUAUGGACGGAAAACGUUCUUGAUGUGAAGAAACUUUUCAUCAUUUUUAUUAAGACUAACUCGAAGAUUUUCCCAAUGUUGGACAACAACGAAAUUGGCCGAAAGUCAUCAACAAACGCAGCAUUGAUUUGGGCACGAUUCCAUUGUAUUGGAAAAUACCCAUUGUUGAUGCAAUUGUUGAACAGACAAAUGAAAAAUCUUACUGCUGUGUCCGGAAAUUUUUUAAUUAUAAAGUUUGAUAUACCAUCGGAUCCACAAGAUCUUUUUGAAUUGGUAGUAGCAAUAACACUCUUUACUUUUUCAGGAGUAGUAAAAUGAUGGGAGUCGGGAUUGUUCAGGACACUGAAUUCGUCAUGUAAGGUGUUGUGACGUCAAUACACGAUGAAACCCUGGAAUUCAGAUCGUGAACUGGAUGUAGAGGCAAUUUCUCUAGGAAAAUUGAAGAAUAAAAUGACUGGAACUUAUUUGCAA